AAGGUUAAGCCUCACGGUUCAUUAGUACCGGUUAGCUCAACGCAUCGCUGCGCUUACACACCCGGCCUAUCAACGUCGUCGUCUUCAACGUUCCUUCAGGACUCUCAAGGAGUCAGGGAGAACUCAUCUCGGGGCAAGUUUCGUGCUUAGAUGCUUUCAGCACUUAUCUCUUCCGCAUUUAGCUACCGGGCAGUGCCAUUGGCAUGACAACCCGAACACCAGUGAUGCGUCCACUCCGGUCCUCUCGUACUAGGAGCAGCCCCCCUCAGUUCUCCAGCGCCCACGGCAGAUAGGGACCGAACUGUCUCACGACGUUCUAAACCCAGCUCGCGUACCACUUUAAAUGGCGAACAGCCAUACCCUUGGGACCUACUUCAGCCCCAGGAUGUGAUGAGCCGACAUCGAGGUGCCAAACACCGCCGUCGAUAUGAACUCUUGGGCGGUAUCAGCCUGUUAUCCCCGGAGUACCUUUUAUCCGUUGAGCGAUGGCCCUUCCAUUCAGAACCACCGGAUCACUAUGACCUGCUUUCGCACCUGCUCGCGCCGUCACGCUCGCAGUCAAGCUGGCUUAUGCCAUUGCACUAACCUCCUGAUGUCCGACCAGGAUUAGCCAACCUUCGUGCUCCUCCGUUACUCUUUAGGAGGAGACCGCCCCAGUCAAACUACCCACCAGACACUGUCCGCAACCCGGAUCACGGGUCAACGUUAGAACAUCAAACAUUAAAGGGUGGUAUUUCAAGGUCGGCUCCAUGCAGACUGGCGUCCACACUUCAAAGCCUCCCACCUAUCCUACACAUCAAGGCUCAAUGUUCAGUGUCAAGCUAUAGUAAAGGUUCACGGGGUCUUUCCGUCUUGCCGCGGGUACACUGCAUCUUCACAGCGAGUUCAAUUUCACUGAGUCUCGGGUGGAGACAGCCUGGCCAUCAUUACGCCAUUCGUGCAGGUCGGAACUUACCCGACAAGGAAUUUCGCUACCUUAGGACCGUUAUAGUUACGGCCGCCGUUUACCGGGGCUUCGAUCAAGAGCUUCGCUUGCGCUGACCCCAUCAAUUAACCUUCCGGCACCGGGCAGGCGUCACACCGUAUACGUCCACUUUCGUGUUUGCACAGUGCUGUGUUUUUAAUAAACAGUUGCAGCCAGCUGGUAUCUUCGACUGAUUUCAGCUCCACGAGCAAGUCGCUUCACCUACAUAUCAGCGUGCCUUCUCCCGAAGUUACGGCACCAUUUUGCCUAGUUCCUUCACCCGAGUUCUCUCAAGCGCCUUGGUAUUCUCUACCUGACCACCUGUGUCGGUUUGGGGUACGAUUUGAUGUUACCUGAUGCUUAGAGGCUUUUCCUGGAAGCAGGGCAUUUGUUGCUUCAGCACCGUAGUGCCUCGUCAUCACGCCUCAGCCUUGAUUUUCCGGAUUUGCCUGGAAAACCAGCCUACACGCUUAAACCGGGACAACCGUCGCCCGGCCAACAUAGCCUUCUCCGUCCCCCCUUCGCAGUAACACCAAGUACAGGAAUAUUAACCUGUUUCCCAUCGACUACGCCUUUCGGCCUCGCCUUAGGGGUCGACUCACCCUGCCCCGAUUAACGUUGGACAGGAACCCUUGGUCUUCCGGCGAGCGGGCUUUUCACCCGCUUUAUCGUUACUUAUGUCAGCAUUCGCACUUCUGAUACCUCCAGCAUACCUCACAGUACACCUUCACAGGCUUACAGAACGCUCCCCUACCCAACAACACAUAGUGUCGCUGCCGCAGCUUCGGUGCAUGGUUUAGCCCCGUUACAUCUUCCGCGCAGGCCGACUCGACCAGUGAGCUAUUACGCUUUCUUUAAAUGAUGGCUGCUUCUAAGCCAACAUCCUGGCUGUCUGGGCCUUCCCACAUCGUUUCCCACUUAACCAUGACUUUGGGACCUUAGCUGGCGGUCUGGGUUGUUUCCCUCUUCACGACGGACGUUAGCACCCGCCGUGUGUCUCCCGUGAUAACAUUCUCCGGUAUUCGCAGUUUGCAUCGGGUUGGUAAGUCGGGAUGACCCCCUUGCCGAAACAGUGCUCUACCCCCGGAGAUGAAUUCACGAGGCGCUACCUAAAUAGCUUUCGGGGAGAACCAGCUAUCUCCCGGUUUGAUUGGCCUUUCACCCCCAGCCACAAGUCAUCCGCUAAUUUUUCAACAUUAGUCGGUUCGGUCCUCCAGUUAGUGUUACCCAACCUUCAACCUGCCCAUGGCUAGAUCACCGGGUUUCGGGUCUAUACCCUGCAACUUAACGCCCAGUUAAGACUCGGUUUCCCUUCGGCUCCCCUAUUCGGUUAACCUUGCUACAGAAUAUAAGUCGCUGACCCAUUAUACAAAAGGUACGCAGUCACACGCCUAAGCGUGCUCCCACUGCUUGUACGUACACGGUUUCAGGUUCUUUUUCACUCCCCUCGCCGGGGUUCUUUUCGCCUUUCCCUCACGGUACUGGUUCACUAUCGGUCAGUCAGGAGUAUUUAGCCUUGGAGGAUGGUCCCCCCAUAUUCAGACAGGAUACCACGUGUCCCGCCCUACUCAUCGAGCUCACAAUAUGUGCAUUUUUGUGUACGGGGCUGUCACCCUGUAUCGCACGCCUUUCCAGACGCUUCCACUAACACACACACUGAUUCAGGCUCUGGGCUGCUCCCCGUUCGCUCGCCGCUACUGGGGGAAUCUCGGUUGAUUUCUUUUCCUCGGGGUACUUAGAUGUUUCAGUUCCCCCGGUUCGCCUCAUUAACCUAUGGAUUCAGUUAAUGAUAGUGUGUCGAAACACACUGGGUUUCCCCAUUCGGAAAUCGCCGGUUAUAACGGUUCAUAUCACCUUACCGACGCUUAUCGCAGAUUAGCACGUCCUUCAUCGCCUCUGACUGCCAGGGCAUCCACCGUGUACGCUUAGUCGCUUAA
rnacentral:rRNA from 1 species